rnacentral:lncRNA from 1 species
AUUAAAGGUUAGCAAAUAUGAUCAAACAUCGAUCAAAUUCAAUCAAAAUUUCAAAGAAAUUAUAUAAGAAAUACAAAGUAUUCCUAGACACCCUUUAAAGAAUUAUAAAGAAAUAACAUAGAAAUUCAAAAAUAUACUAAAAUAAAAAUCUUAAUUAAAUCUAAGUCAAAACCUAAGAAAACUCUAAUCAAACCUUAAUAAAAUCCUAACCAAAUCCUAAAUAAAUCCUAGUAAAAUCCUAAAAAAUCCUAAAUAAAUCUUAACCAAAUCCUAAUCAAAUCCUAACCAAAUCCUAAACAAAUCCUAAUCAAAUCCUAAAUAAACCCUAACCAAACCAUAAUCAAAUCCUAAACAAUUCCUAACCAAACUCUAAAUAAAUCCUAAUCAAAUCCUAUACAAACCUUAACCAAAUACUAAUCAA